UGCCCCACAGUUCAGGAUGUAGCCUGGGAUGUCCUGCCAGGUCGGGAUGGGAAACGCUGACUACGUGGCUGCCUUCCUGCACCUGCUGCUUCCACUGGCCUUUGAGGUGACUGCACGGAGGGCUCCCCCAGGGCAGCCGGGUGGGAGGGGGACCUUGUGCCUGGAGUGCGCCAGUGAAGGCAGGAGGAGGGUUAUGAGGUGUCCCACUCCUGUGUGGCUGGGGAAGGUGCUCAGGAGGGGAUGGGAUGGGCCUGGCUCGCCCUCACCCGGGCUCUAGCCCCUCUCUGUCGACCCUCCCCACUCCGGCCUGGCCUGUAGUUUGACCCUGAGCUGGUGCUGGUCUCGGCAGGAUUUGACUCAGCCAUCGGGGACCCUGAGGUGAGGGCCUUGCCUUGCCAGGGAGGGCUUCUGGGGUCCUGGGGCCCAGGUCCCCCGUCACACAUGGCUCUGGUUCCAGGGGCAAAUGCAGGCCACGCCAGAGUGCUUCGCCCACCUCACACAGCUGCUGCAGGUGCUGGCCGGCGGCCGGGUCUGCGCCGUGCUGGAGGGCGGCUACCACCUGGAGUCACUGGCGGAGUCAGUGUGCAUGACAGUACAGACGCUGCUGGGUGACCCGGCCCCACCCCUGUCAGGGCCAAUGGUGCCAUGUCAGAGGUGCGAGGGGAGGUAGGGCGGGCAGGGCUGGGGUGUGAGACCAGGUGUCACGACUGUUGUGUCUCCCCCACAGUGCCCUAGAGUCCAUCCAGAGUGCCCGUGCUGCCCAGGCCCCGCACUGGAAGAGCCUCCAGCAGCAAGGUCAGUGUGGCCGGGUGCUAGGCUGCAGGAUCCCACCUCGGGCUCCCGUGCAGUGGCUAUGACUCCGAACUGUCCCUAGAUGUGACCGCUGUGCCGAUGAGCCCCAGCAGCCACUCCCCAGAGGGGAGGCCUCCACCUCUGCUGCCUGGGGGUCCAGUGUGUAAGGCAGCUGCAUCUGCACUGAGCUCCCUCCUGGACCAGCCGUGCCUCUGCCCCGCACCCUCUGUCCGCACCGCUGUUGCCCUGACAACGCCGGAUAUCACAUUGGUUCUGCCCCCUGACGUCAUCCAACAGGAAGCGUCAGCCCUGAGGGAGGAGACAGAAGCCUGGGCCAGGCCACACGAGUCCCUGGCCCGGGAGGAGGCCCUCACUGCACUUGGGAAGCUCCUGUACCUCUUAGAUGGGAUGCUGGAUGGGCAGGUGAACAGUGGUAUAGCAGCCACUCCAGCCUCUGCUGCAGCAGCCACCCUGGAUGUGGCUGUUCGGAGAGGCCUGUCCCACGGAGCCCAGAGGCUGCUGUGCGUGGCCCUGGGACAGCUGGACCGGCCUCCAGACCUCGCCCAUGACGGGAGGAGUCUGUGGCUGAACAUCAGGGGCAAGGAGGCGGCUGCCCUAUCCAUGUUCCAUGUCUCCACGCCACUGCCAGUGAUGACCGGUGGUUUCCUGAGCUGCGUCUUGGGCUUGGUGCUGCCCCUGGCCUAUGGCUUCCAGCCUGACCUGGUGCUGGUGGCGCUGGGGCCUGGCCAUGGCCUGCAGGGCCCCCACGCUGCACUCCUGGCUGCAAUGCUUCGGGGGCUGGCAGGGGGCCGAGUCCUGGCCCUCCUGGAGGAGGUAAGCUGGGCAGGGUGGAGGUGCUGCGGGGUGGGACGAGGGGAAGGACCAGUGACUGCUUCCGUCUUCGCCCCUGGUCCAGGACUCCACACCCCAGCUAGCAGGGAUCCUGGCCCGGGUGCUGAAUGGAGAGGCACCUCCUAGCCUAGGCCCUUCCUCUGUGGCCUCCCCAGAGGACGUCCAGGCCCUGAUGUACCUGAGAGGGCAGCUGGAGCCUCAGUGGAAGAUGUUGCAGUGCCAUCCUCACCUGGUGGCUUGAAAUCGGCCAAGGUGGGAGCAUUUACACCGCAGAAAUGACACCGCACGCCAGCGCCCC
rnacentral:sRNA from 1 species